GAACAGCGACGAUUCUGCGCAUGUACAAGGCGCGGAGGUUGGGGUAGGAGUUUGCGCAUGAGCAGAAGUGUGGGGAAAGCUAGAGAAGGGUUAGGAGGCGGUAUUGACAGCUGUGGAGGCAGCCCGCGUUCCCGGCAUGCCCCGGGGCGGCGGGGUUGGCUCUAACGAAUUUGAAUGAGGAGCCUCAGCGCUUUCGGCGCCAUUUUCGAGUGAUGCCUGAUCUCAUCAAUCUAGCGGGAGAGACGGGAUAACCUGUCCGAGAUUAUAGCGCCGCUAGGACUCCGCCGAAAAAUCACUUAAAAAAUUGCCAAAAAUUACUUCGUGCAAAGGGCAGCCCGCGGAGCUUCACCAGGGUUGGCGCAGACGGUUUUGACCUUUAGGAGAGAGCCAAUUCUGGAGAACAACCUAACUUCUCUGAUUGAACACUCACAUAAUGCAUUGGAACAUGAUAGGAGAUUAAGGUUUAAUAAAGAUAAAAUGAAGACCAUAAUAAAAUAGUCCCCUACUUAGCCCAGCAAUUCUUACCUUUCUUACCUACUGGAUGGAAGAUGUCUUUAGAAAGGCAUACUGCAAGGAAUGAACUGCUGUCUGUAAAUUUUGCUUUUACCAAGGUGGAUAUUACUAUCCCUUAUUCUUCGAAAAAGUUUUAUUCUCAGUGUUGUUUCUCAUUGAGUAUUAACAAAAAGAAAAAUUAAUGUUCCAAACUUUUCAGAUAGAUUUGGUCCUAGCAUGUAUUUUGAUAGCACUACUACGUCCCCUCCAAAAGGUGAGAACUGACUCUUCCAUCUGUACCUGGAUCAUGUGGAGAAAGGACUGAGAAUGGAAGCAGAAAACAGACAUUGUCCAUGUAGAGCAGACUGCCUGACAACAGCUCACUCUAAUAAAGGGCAAUAAAUGCCACACGAGAUGAUCCUCUCAUCACAAAACUUUACAUCUGACUUAUAUGCCUGGUCUGAUAACUUCUAUCUUUUUAUGACUCCUAAAUUGUGGAGAUGUUUAUCCUAGUGUGCAAAGUGACACAUAUAAAUGAGGAAUUCCUACAAAAGGAAUCACCAAACCAAAGUAUAUGUGUAUUUUAAAUGUUAGUAGAGGUUUUCAGAAGCUUUUCACCAAAUGUAGGUGUUAAUUAAUAACAAAGUUAUUAUUCCUCUCCCCAUAUGUUUGUCAGUGCUUUACACAUAGUAGUGUUAAAAUUGUUGAGUGAUUGAGCUCACAUUCAAGUGGAAAAAAAAUUGGUUUUUAUGAUGGCCUAUAAGUCUAUACAGAGGAAAAGACUGAUUAAUAUGCCUGGGAAAGGAGGGAAACAAGGCCACAGAGAAGAGGUACAAUUGAAAGUGGGCCACCAAUCAUCUUCUCCUGCCUCCUCCCUCCCUUCUUCCUCCUCCUCCUCCUCUUCCUCUUCCUCCUCC